UAUUAUUAUUAUUAUUAAUAUUAAUAUUAUCAUAAUAAUAUUAUUAUAUAUUUUAAAUAUCUAUCGAUGUUGUUUUGUUAUUGAUCAUUCAGUUGACGCGAUACACAUCAUACAUUUCUAUCAUUGUGUUACACGCAUAAAGGACAAGUGAAUAACGAAGAGUGAAAGAGGAGAAAGAGAAAGAAUAGAGUAAAAGGACGAAAGAACAUGUAAAGAAGAGAAAAAAGAGAAGAGAAAACUACGCAAAAGAACUCCAUUUACGAUUAAAAUGUAAAAAGGAUUGGGAAUCAGCACAAUUUUGAUAUAGUAAAAAAAGAAAGAUAAAAGAAAACAAAGAACGAAGUAACGUUUAGACACCAAAUUAAAUUUCGUUUAUAUACUUUUUUCAAUAGAAAUUUUUUAUUUUUUUCAAAGAUUAAAACAAUAAAACAUGAUUGGAUUUACACGUUCUUCGCAUAGUAAAACACGAUUUUGGUAUAAUAAAAAAGGGGGAAGAUGGAGUUAUGGAUCAAAAAUAGCAAUUAAAUAUAAUCCAUGCCACGUAUACGAUAUAAACCAUUCGACGAAAGGAAAUUUUCUCUGGAUGCCAUCCUAUAAAUUUUUAACAUAUUGAGUGCCACGGGGAUGAGAUUUUGGAAUGAGGGAGUUCUGCGUUCAAAAUGUUUAAAAAAUAUAUGAGACUAAUAUAAAUAAUAUCAUAGUAAAUUCAUCUGUAUCUUUAUACUGAACAAAAAAAGAAACAUUAGAUGGACAUAUCGAUUGAAAAAAAAAAAAAAGAAAAAAAAGAAAUUGGCUUUGAAAGCAACGCGUUAAAAAAAAUAAUCCAUCAAUGGGGUUGCUCGUCCUUACUUUUCCCUAUACAUUUCCACUUUAAAUCAUCCUAACUUUCUCUUUCAUUCCUUUUUGUCUUCUUUUUUUUCUCUUUUUCUCGUAAAAGACACUCGAUGAAAGAAGCUAAAUUGAUACUAGAACGUGACGCGAUCGCUAUGGUUAUUUUGCAAUUAAAUUCGUACUGUAAACAAAGCAAAAAUUAGAAAGAGAAAGAAGAAUUAAAUGUGCGUACUUCAUUGAAAAUGAAUUAGGCCAACUUGAAUGGAAACAUAAGACGCUUUUAAAUUAGCAAGCGAGGGGCCGCUGAUUUGUUUUGAAAAAAUUUGUAUCGAAAGAGAACGUUCGAUAAAUGGUCGAAUGUUAAUAUGCCAAACGAAAAAAAAGAAAUGAAUGAAAGACAAGAUAUAUCUGAGGACGUCAUUAGCAAUGGUGAAGUAAAUGGGAGAGGAAUGGAUGGAUGGAUGGAUGGAAAUCGAUGGCAAAGGCCGGUCGCUUGUGAUUGGCUAGGACACGUUAGUAGUGAUCUUCAAUUGGAGGGCGUCCUAUUAAUUGUUGGAAUUUUUGUAGUUUACUAAGAAAUACGAUUCACGAUAUGUUAUUUGUAUAUGUAUAUACGUAUACAUAUAUAAACAUAAUAUUUAUAUACAUAUAUAUAUAUAUAUACAUACAUAUAUUAUUAUUAUUAUAGUUAAAUCGUUCUCUCGAGUUCUUGCAUUAUGAGUCCGAUAAAUUUUCUGAGAGGGAAAAGAUAUGGGAAGGGAUAGAAGAUAAACGAAAAUAAAAAAUGCGAUGAAAGAAAGCAAAAAAUGAUAAAAAAGAUUUCGCGUUAUGCGACUACUUCCAUGCUUUCUCUGCAUUUCGAACUUUGAAAAUGUUUACUUCAUCUGUUUUCUUUUGCUCUGUUUUGCACAUCGUAUAUAUGUAUUAUAUAUAUACGGUAUAUAUAAUAUAUAUAUUGUAUAUAUAUUAUAUAUAUUAUAUAUAUAUAUUAUAUAUAUAUUAUAUAUAUAUAUAUAUAUAUAUAUAUAUAUAUUACGAUUUUUCCGAUAUAAAAGAAGAAAUAAGAAAGGAAGAGAAAAAAAGGAAAUCGAAGAAGUGAAUUCGGUAGCUCAGUUAAAGGGAUUUUUGUAUUCGAUAAUAAUAACGAUAAUAAUCAUAAUAUAAAGAGAGAAAAAAAGGAAAACAUAAAAGUUAAAUCAUAUAGGGGGAGGAAUUAUUUCUUCUCGAGUGAAUCUCAGUUUGCCUCGCUUCCAACCAUGCUCGUGAACAACUUGUCUCAUACGAUGGAUGUGCAAUUAGUCAAUGAUUAUUUCUAUUAGUUUGUGUGUGUAUGAUAGUCCGUUUUAAAAGGAAAAAAAGAAAGAAAAAACAAAAGAUUACACAUUUCAUAUAACACGACAAUGUAUUCGUAUUAUACGCAAGUCACAUAGAUAGCAUAGUUUUAAUAACAUUGUAUUUGUUAUUGAAACAAUGCAUCUUUGUCCUGAACGUAUUCCUAUCUAUUAUCAAAAAUAAAUGAAAUAUUUAGUGCUUAAGUUUAAUAAGACAUCUUUUUUUACUGUGUUAUACAAACACAAAUCACAAUUUUUAUAUCAUGUUAUAUGAGAUUGUGUUUAACAUAUAUUUGAAAAAUGGUAUUGACGAAAACUGGAUAAAGUCCGAUAACGAUUGAUAAGAGUUAGAUAGCUUCUUCUUUUUUUCUUGUUUUAAAUUAGAAAAGAGAUAAAGAAAAAGAGAGAUAGAGAUCAUUUGAGAGAUAGAGAUCACGAGUCAUCAAAGGAUCGAAAUCGCUCCUAAUUUGUUCACCUAUCAUUUAAAUCUAGUUUGAAAAUUUCCACCAAAAGCAAGAGACCCUUCAGUCAAACUCGAACUCCUUCAAUUAUUUAACUACGCUCGAAUCGAGUUGUGACACUUCGUCCUACGACAAAGUCAAGCUCGUAUCAUGCUCUCCACACGUCAUCAAUGGCAAGUCCGAUCAGUCCGAAAUGUCAUUCGCAUAUACACUUCCCGUGAUAUUUAAUAUGCGAACAUGAGUAUUAAUUGUAAUUAAUAAAUAGAUGAAUAGACAGAUAGAUAAAUAUAUACAUACGUCAUGCAUAUAUGUAAUAAUCUCAAGAAAUACGCGCAUCUAGAGGAAAAUAAUAAAUGAACGGGCGGAAGUAAACGAAAGAGAAGGACAGAGAUAAAUAAAAAAAUAUAAAGGAUAAGUUCAUUUGUUGUGCGUGUGUGUGUUAUGUUAUAUACAAAUGAUACAGAAGGAGAGAGAGAAAGAAAAUAUGAAUGAGAGAAAAAGAGAAACAAAUGAUCCGAUGAUAAACACGAAAUUACUAUUCUUUGUUACUUCUUUAUAAUUAAAACAAUAAAAAUGAUAAAAAUAUAUUAAACAUUUUUAUUUGAACAAAGAAACAACGAUACGAUUUUCUUUUGCAAAAUGAAUGUCAUCGAGAUCAUUCGUAUUUUUAAUUCAUUAUUUACGAAUUGAAUAUUAGAAUCAUUCAUUAGUUUACGAAAUUAAAUAAGACAAGAGAGUACAUGUGUACAACAAUUUAUGUAACAAUUAUUGAGUUAGUAAUCUUGAAAAUUGGAUAGUGACGAACAUUGAUUUAUGACGUGGACGAUAAGUAUUUCGAUUAAAGGUUACAAAAAUUAAAUUACUUUUUUUCUAUUCGUUAGAUUAUUAUUUUCUUAUUUACGAAGAGAAACAAAUAAAAUGUUACGAGUUGUUUACACUAGAACUAUUCCAGAUCUCAUUUCCACUUCAUUCUAAAAGAUUCAAAUUAUUGUCUCUAAUGAUUUCAAAGUUUCAUUUCAAUCAUCUUGUAUACAUAAAUAUCUAAUGAAAAGUUUAAAUAAUCAUUAUUUUUGCAAUAAUGUUGUAUUUAUUGACGCUUUCCUUGUUUUUCAUAAAAAUUUUCAAUUGAUCAUUCUACGAAUUCUCAAAAUUAAAUUGUUGUCAGCGUGUAUUCGCUCGAUCAUUCAAUAAUCGAUUAGAUUUUUCCCUUUCAUCGAACAUUCGUAGAAUUCCGCUCCUUCGAGCGAUGCUAAUGUAUCGAGAAUAUAUCUGUUAUCAGAAUUUUAUUUAUUUUUUCAUAUCUUUAGAAAGAAAUCACGAUCGAGCGUUCGAACUAGGAUUAAGGGAAGUCCACGAAUGGCUAACGAUCCAAUAGGAUGAAAUAAAUGAACAAUUAUAUGAUCACUGGACUUACCUUUUCCGCUUGUUUUCUUAUAAAUUUGUUAUAGUAUCUCUUAAGGUACAUAUCCAUUUGUUAUGUAUACUCCUAUCGUAUCACCGUCGCGUAUUAAUGUGGAUAGGCAAAGUUCGUAUGUUCCGUUUUUAUAUAGAGAUGCACUGAUAAUGCGCAAUGAUGAUACGGAAUGAUGAUACGCAAUAGUGAUACGAUACGAAGAUAUGCAACAAGUGGACACGAAAGAUAUCCUCAUAACUGUAACGCAAAUCAAACCUAAAGUGCACACACGAAAAUUAAAAAGGGAGAAGGUUCUAUUUAUUUAAAGGUCUAAUUAUCAUCAUUGUCAUCAUCAUCACCAUCAUUAUCCAUCAUUGUCAUCAUUAUUAUUAAACAUCGUUGUACGCACAAUAUAAAAAUCCAAAAUCAAAGAUAAAAGAAUAUAUAAAGUAAAGAGUAUCGAGAUUAGA